rnacentral:lncRNA from 1 species
CACACAUCUUGUUCUGCCGGUUCUCACUCUGCGUGGCAACAGAACCAGAUCCACACGCUCCAACUGCCUCUCAGCCAUUUCUUUCACACACCGUCCUCUUUAACCCGAGCAUGGGCUCACAAGAAGAUGACUCAGGAAACAGGCCCUCCAGCUACUCCCAUCCUGAGGUAACCCACGCCCUGGCAAGUGUGAAAAGGGAGGGCAGCAGGAAGUACCAUGCUGGUCCGUGCCGGUUCCUUCUGGACGCUCAGAAAUUCAGUUUUAACGUCUUCAGUUCUGUUGCUUUCAGAAAACCAUUCUCUCGAGCAGUAAUCUCCAAAAUGGACACCACCGCCAAAGGUACCCAGUCAAUCUGUCCUGAGGUUCUGCCUGAGUCUGGAGUCAACUGCAACAGAUGCCUCCCUGCCCGUAACAGCCUGCAACAGCAUGGACCAUGGACAUCCACACAGCCUCUGGCUGCGCCAUGGACCUCAGACAUCAAAAUGGCCCCAGCACAGAUCACAGACAGCAACAUGGCCUUUCUCUCACUCUUUAGAAAGCAUAUAAGCAGGCAAACGAAAAUAAUAUUUUUUAAUUAAAUAAAAAAAAAACAGAGUAAACAA